rnacentral:tRNA from 1 species
UAUUUAUUAGUUUAAAAAAAAACAUUAUAUUUUCAAUAUAAAAUCAAUUUAAAUAAUAAAAAUUAUAAAUAU